UACGGGGGGAGCAAGCGUUGUUCGGAUUUACUGGGCGUAAAGGGCGCGUAGGCGGUCGUGACAAGUCACUUGUGAAAUCUCCGGGCUUAACUCGGAACGGUCAAGUGAUACUGUCGGACUAGAGUACAGAAGGGGCAACUGGAAUUCUCGGUGUAGCGGUGAAAUGCGUAGAUAUCGAGAGGAACACCUGCGGCGAAGGCGGCUCGCUGGGACGGUACUGACGCUAAGGCGCGAAAGCGUGGGGAGCAAACAGG
rnacentral:rRNA from 1 species